CUGUGGUCGCUGCUGUUGCUGUGGUUGCUGCUGCUGCUGCUGCUGCAGCUGCUGUCGCCGGAACAGCUGUUGCCGCAG
rnacentral:sRNA from 1 species